UACGGAGGAUCCGAGCGUUAUCCGGAAUUAUUGGGUUUAAAGGGUGCGUAGGCGGAAAUGUAAGUCAGUGGUGAAAUCCUGCAGCUUAACUGUAGAAUAGCCGUUGAAACUGUGUUUCUUGAGUACAUUUGAGGUAGGCGGAAUGUGGUGUGUAGCGGUGAAAUGCAUAGAUAUACCACAGAACACCGAUUGCGAAGGCAGCUUACUAAACUGUCACUGACGCUGAUGCACGAAAGCGUGGGUAUCAAACAGGAUUAGA
rnacentral:rRNA from 1 species